rnacentral:rRNA from 1 species
GAAACGACUGCUAAGACUGGAUAGGAGACAAGAAGGCAUCUUCUUGUUUUUAAAAGACCUAGCAAUAGGUAUGCUUAGGGAGGAGCUUGCGUCACAUUAGUUAGUUGGUGGGGUAAAGGCCUACCAAGACUAUGAUGUGUAGCCGGGCUGAGAGGUUGAACGGCCACAUUGGGACUGAGACACGGCCCAAACUCCUACGGGAGGCAGCAGUAGGGAAUUUUCGGCAAUGGAGGAAACUCUGACCGAGCAACGCCGCGUGAACGAUGAAGUAUUUCGGUACGUAAAGUUCUUUUAUUAGGGAAGAAUAAAUGAUGGAAAAAUCAUUCUGACGGUACCUAAUGAAUAAGCCCCGGCUAACUAUGUGCCAGCAGCCGCGGUAAUACAUAGGGGGCAAGCGUUAUCCGGAAUUAUUGGGCGUAAAGGGUGCGUAGGCGGUUAAAUAAGUUUAUGGUCUAAGUGCAAUGCUCAACAUUGUGAUGCUAUAAAAACUGUUUAGCUAGAGUAAGAUAGGGGCAAGUGGAAUUCCAUGUGUAGUGGUAAAAUGCGUAAAUAUAUGGAGGAACACCAGUAGCGAAGGCGGCUUGCUGGGUCUUUACUGACGCUGAGGCACGAAAGCGUGGGGAGCAAACAGGAUUAGAUACCCUGGUAGUCCACGCCGUAAACGAUGAGUACUAAACGUUGGGUAAAACCAGUGUUGAAGUUAACACAUUAAGUACUCCGCCUGAGUAGUACGUACGCAAGUAUGAAACUUAAAGGAAUUGACGGGACUCCGCACAAGCGGUGGAUCAUGUUGUUUAAUUCGAAGGUACCCGAAAAACCUCACCAGGUCUUGACAUGCUUCUGCAAAGCUGUAGAAACACAGUGGAGGUUAUCAGUUGCACAGGUGGUGCAUGGUUGUCGUCAGCUCGUGUCGUGAGAUGUUGGGUUAAGUCCCGCAACGAGCGCAACCCUUAUUGUUAGUUACCAGCACGUAAUGGUGGGGACUUUAGCAAGACUGCCAGUGAUAAAUUGGAGGAAGGUGGGGACGACGUCAAAUCAUCAUGCCCCUUAUGACCUGGGCUACAAACGUGAUACAAUGGCUGUUGCAAAGGGUAGCUGAAGCGCAAGUUUUUGGCGAAUCUCAAAAAAACAGUCUCAGUUCGGAUUGAAGUCUGCAACUCGACUUCAUGAAGUUGGAAUCGCUAGUAAUCGCGAAUCAGCAUGUCGCGGUGAAUACGUUCUCGGGGUUUGUACACACCGCCCGUCA